rnacentral:rRNA from 1 species
GACAGAGGGGGCAAGCGUUGCUCGGAAUCACUGGGCGUAAAGGGCGCGUAGGCGGGAUGGCAAGUCGGUCGUGAAAUCCUUCGGCUCAACCGAAGAACGUCGGCCGAUACUGCCGUUCUUGAGGGAUGCAGAGGAGAUUGGAAUUCCCGGUGUAGCGGUGAAAUGUGUAGAGAUCGGGAGGAACACCAGAGGCGAAAGCGGUUAACUGGGUCUAAACUGACGCUGAGGCGCGAAGGCUAGGGGAGCAAACAGG